rnacentral:lncRNA from 1 species
AGAAUAACUUGUCCAAGAUCACAGAGUUUAGGAAGUAAGGAAGCAGGGCUUUGAGCUUUGCAUAAAGUGAUGACCCAUAAAUGCAAAUGGAAUACAACAGGAGUGGGUCCAUAAAGUCCCACCCAGAGAAUGCCCUUCUGCCAAAAAAUUUCGGAUUGAAACAGCAAAAACCUAAGCAACUGAUAGUCAGGUACAGCCUUGACUCAUUGUUGAAAGUAGAUGUAGAGCCAGCAGGUUGGAUGCCAAGGAGAAGAGAAGAGGUGUGCUUUAUGUAUGGGUUCCAUGGAGCUCCAGUGGCACAAUCAGUUAGUGCACGGUCCUUACAUGUAUGGAUUCUCUGCAAUUUGCUACAAGAAAAACAAAUCAUUACUGCAUCAAAAUUUCCACAUUGAGUUUACCUGCCUAGAUCCAAGCCAACGGCAAGAGAAAUGCCAUUCAGAAAAAGUUCUCCAUCCAGUAGCAUCAUUGAUCAACUCACCAAAAUAGUAAUAAUACUAAUGAUGACCACGAUGAUGAUUGUGAUGAUGAUGUUAUGAGUCUUUACCUAGUAUUUAAAAGCAAUGCACAUGUAUUUACCUGUGUUAUCUCUUUCUCCCUGGCAAAAACCUCAGGGUAGGAAGACUAUUAUAAUCUCCAUUUUGUAGACAAGGAAACUGAAGAUAGAAUAGGUUAAGGAAUUUGUUCAAGGUCACACCAGUAUAAGUGGAAGGAUAAGACCUAAAAGUAUUUUUUCUAUGGUGUUGCUCCCAUUUUAAAAUUAAAUUGCUUUUGGCUCCAAAAUAAAUAACCCAAUUUGUAGAUUUUUUAAAUUCUAUAUCCUUAUUUGCCCUACCAAAGGACUCUUUGAUGGUCAUAAUAAUCGCUACAAAUCAAGGUUAAAACUACAUUUCUCCCCCCAGCGCACCCCCUUUUCUGAUCUACUCGGCAAAGCAGCUCAGUUUUCAUCCUAGAAAACUAGCCUUCCCCAACACCUCUCCUGGCAGGGAAGCCCCAUCUGAUAGACCCUUGAGCGCUUUCUGUAAAUUAAUCACUCUGGAUCCUGAAGCUCAGCAAAACUUUCUUAGUCUAACCCAAGAGCAGUAACUAUUUCUCCCACCAAAAGAAUGCUCUCCCUCACUGCCAUAAAGGCCUCUGAGAAUAGCCAAAAGGAAAUGGCAGGACUGCUAUUCACUCUGAGGUCAUCUAUAGCACUGGUGGCCUGUAGACCUGAGCAGAAAGGAUAUUCCUUCAUUGGGGUAAGAUUUUCUAGCCACAAACUUUUUGUUUUAUUGUAACAAUUUUUUUUUCAAGGACAGUAUCAUCUUCUUUAAGGAAGUUUUUGCCUUUCAUGGGUCAUUUCGAAUUUUUGCUGAGACACAGCCUUGGCUAGCUCAGCAUCAGAUCCCUGUACCAUCUGGGGGGUUAUUUUUUAAAUAUAAGAUCUAAUCAUUUUAUGCUAAGGGGCUAUAUUCUUUGUGAAAUUCUAAAGGCCAGUAAAACCACAAAGAUCCUACUUUUCAUUCAGCAUAGGUUGCUGUGUCUUUAAACCAAAGGUAUUCCUAGUUCAAAAUGGAAU